rnacentral:tRNA from 1 species
GUGCCCUUAGUUCAGUUGGUUAGAAUAUCGGGUUGUGAUUCCGAGGGUCACGGGUUCGAACCCCGUAGGGCACCCCA